rnacentral:rRNA from 1 species
AGUGAACGCUGGCGGUAGGCCUAACACAUGCAAGUCGAACGGCAGCACAGUAAGAGCUUGCUCUUACGGGUGGCGAGUGGCGGACGGGUGAGGAAUACAUCGGAAUCUACUUUUUCGUGGGGGAUAACGUAGGGAAACUUACGCUAAUACCGCAUACGACCUACGGGUGAAAGCAGGGGAACUUCGGACCUUGCGCGAUUGAAUGAGCCGAUGUCGGAUUAGCUAGUUGGCGGGGUAAAGGCCCACCAAGGCGACGAUCCGUAGCUGGUCUGAGAGGAUGAUCAGCCACACUGGAACUUAGACACGGUCCAGACUCCUACGGGAGGCAGCAGUGGGGAAUAUGGGACAAUGGGCGCAAGCCUGAUCCAGCCAUACCGCGUGGGUGAAGAAGGCCUUCGGGUUGUAAAGCCCUUUUGUUGGGAAAGAAAAGCAGCAGGUUAAUACCCCGCUGUUCUGACGGUACCCAAAGAAUAAGCACCGGCUAACUUCGUG